CACGAGGCUUGCCACCAUCUUGGAAGUGGCCCACUGCCAUUUUGGAAGUGGCCAGUUACCAUCUUAGGAGCUCUGGGAGCAAGGACCCCUGGUUAAAAGUUUGCCUAGGCCCUUGUGCUGAAAGUCACAGAGCCUAUUAAGGUUGGAAAAUGAAAGGAAGAAGUUUGACAAUAAUAAGUGCUGCCAAGGAUAUGCAUUGACAAGAAACUCUCAGACUCUGCUGGCAAGAUCAUGAAUUUUUACAACCACUCUGGAGAAAGAUUUGUCAGUAUUUUGGCACAGGUGUUGCCUCCGUGACCUCUCACCGUUGUCUAUGAGUAGUGGAACACUAAGAGAAAUUCCUGGGAUCCUUCCUGGAUAAUUGGAAGAACCAUCUGGACAGGUGGAAAUAAGUAUAUUUACAAAUGGAUUUGAGCCAGAAGCCUGAC